GACUGCUCCAGUAUUCUAGUGGUUAGACUGUCUGUCUCAGAUGCAGGAGGUCUUGGGUUUAAAACCCAGCUGAGUCG